rnacentral:rRNA from 1 species
AUUGAACGCUGGCGGCAGGCCUAACACAUGCAAGUCGAACGAGUGGCGGACGGGUGAGAAAUAUCUGGGAACCUCCCUGAGGGGGGGGGAAACCUACUGGAAACGGUCGCAAAACCCGCAUACCAUCAGAUGCGCCCAGUUGGGAUUAGCUAGUAGGGGGGGGAAAGGCUCACCUAGGCGACGAUCCCUAGCUGGUCUGAGAGGAUGACCAGCCACACUGGAACUGAGACACGGGCCAGACUCCUACGGGAGGCAGCAGUGGGGAAUAUUGCACAAUGGGCGCAAGCCUGAUGCAGCCAUGCCGCGUGUAUGAAGAAGGCCUUCGGGUUGUAAAGUACUUUCAGCGGGGAGGCGUUACCCGCAGAAGAAGCACCGGCUAACUCCGUGCCAGCAGCCGCGGUAAUUC